CCUACGGGUGGCAGCAGUGGGGAAUAUUGGGCAAUGGGCGCAAGCCUGACCCAGCAACGCCGCGUGAAGGAAGAAGGCUUUCGGGUUGUAAACUUCUUUUGUCAGGGAAGAGUAGAAGACGGUACCUGCCGAAUAAGCCACGGCUAACUACGUGCCAGCAGCUGCGGUAAUACGUAGGUGGCAAGCGUUAUCCGGAUUUACUGGGUGUAAAGGGAGUGUAGACGGGUUGAUAAGUCAGAUGUGAAAUCCUGCGGCUUAACCGUAGAAUUGCAUUUGAUACUGUCGAUCUUGAGUACUGGAGAGGCAGACGGAAUUCCUGGUGUAGCGGUGAAAUGCGUAGAUAUUAGGAGGAACACCAGUUGCGAAGGCGGUCUGCUGAACAGCCACUGACGGUGAGGCGCGAAAGCGUGGGGAUCAAACAGGAUUAGAUACCCCGGUAGUC
rnacentral:rRNA from 1 species